AACCAGCGAAGGUGCCAAGAAAGGAGAAAGGAACCAGCUCUCAGCUCUUCUUCAGCAUGGCAGUGUUGUGGAUGCUGUUUGAAGGAAAGAAAUACUGAUUCUAAGGUUUUUCAGAGGCUCUGGCAGGGAUGAGCAGGACAUCCGAGUGGAGCAUAUGAUAAGUGUGAUCAGACAAAUUCUAUUUUCUUACUUGAGCAGCUAUUUUAUGGGACUGCUUAUGUAUGUCCGAGGAGCCCACAACUUCAGCCACACAACUUUUUGUACUGCAAGAACUCAACUUUUUGUAGCUUUUAUUUCACAUUUAAUUUAAAGUAACUAUAGCACUAAAAUGCCUAGCAGAAGAUUUUCCUCCAGACCUGUAAGGAAAUUUUAUGAAAAAAGAUCCUUCAGUGGUUAAACGUCUCAUGUCGUUGGUGCUUCUGACCCUAAUAGCACCACUAGACAACACAACAACCACAUGGAAACAUAUUUUUGGAAGCAAAACUUUAAUUUUAUACGACAUAUGCUAUGGAGAGUGAAGAAAAUUUAAGGAUUACUUGUUUCCUAUUUUUUUCUUAACAAAAUGGAAUCCACUGUGUUGAAGACUCUUGAUAUUAUGUGAUUGUCUAACCAUUUUUUAUACCAAUAAAUUGAAAUAAAAUCCAGUAUGAUCAUGGUCAUUGAAUGGAUUAGUCUGAAAAGUUAUAUUUUAUUUAUGAUUUUUAAAAAUCAGGGUAACUAAACUUCUCAUUGUGUUGUUUUGUUCUUCAAUAUACUUGUAAUCCAUGGAGAAUUCCACUGAUGAACACGAUAAUUUCCACAUGUGUUUUAUUUCUCAGUGAACUGUGUAAACUUUAAUUUUGUUGAAGGUUGUAUGUUAACUCUAUGUUAUGUUCUCAUACCACUUCUUGAGAAGGAAGUUCUAAUUUGAAAUUGUAUCAUUUCCUUCAAAAUGAAGGGCAAUGCUUAGUUAAAUAAAAGAUUGAUAACAUUUUUU